rnacentral:tRNA from 1 species
GCGGACGUGGCGGAAUUGGUAGACGCGCUAGACUUAGGAUCUAGUGCCAUACGGCGUGGGGGUUCGAGUCCCUUCGUCCGCACUA